GCCGCGCAUGCGUGGUAGGCGCCUUAUUCCGCCCGCCCCUGCACGAGGACCGGAAGUGUUUCGGAGUCCUGCAGCUUGGCCGGAAGUGUUGGCAUUUCGGCUUUUGGGAGACUAGCUCCAGACGGAUAAAAAAGGUUGAACAGUUGCCUCCCAUACUGAAAAUUUCAAGCUUUUGGACAGAACUGUACAGUGUGAACAAGCCUGGUGAUGAAGCUUGGACUAGUUAAAGUAUCUUAGUUUCACAGUCCCUCGUCCCAUAUAAAUAUAUGAAGCACCAAAACUGGAGCCAAGGCGAGCAUUACUUGAGCAGCAGCUGGUCUUCAGGACAAGUAGAUCAGAAGUUUCAAGUGCAAAAGACACUGAAUUACUCUGAGAAACAUCAAUCCACAUGACUAAUGAAAAGAAGCAAACUGCUGGUGUCACCUUAACAUAAAAUUGUGCAUUUUCCCCUUCAGUGUGUGUUUUAGUUCAUUUAUGUGAUAAUAAAGUUUUGGAGUUCUCAUGGCA